rnacentral:rRNA from 1 species
GAUGAACGCUGGCGGCGUGCCUAAUACAUGCGAGUCGAGCGAACAGACGAGGAGCUUGCUCCUCUGACGUUAGCGGCGGACGGGUGAGUAACACGUGGAUAACCUACCUAUAAGACUGGGGUAACUUCGGGAAACCGGAGCUAAUACCGGAUAAUAUAUUGAACCGCAUGGUUCAAUAGUGAAAGACGGUUUUGCUGUCACUUAUAGAUGGAUCCGCGCCGCAUUAGCUAGUUGGUAAGGUAACGGCUUACCAAGGCAACGAUUCGUAGCCGACCUGAGAGGGUGAUCGGCCACACUGGAACUGAGACACGGUCCAGACUCCUACGGGAGGCAGCAGUAGGGAAUCUUCCGCAAUGGGCGAAAGCUUGACGGAGCAACGCCGCGUGAGUGAUGAAGGUCUUCGGAUCGUAAAACUCUGUUAUUAGGGAAGAACAAAUGUGUAAGUAACUAUGCACGUCUUGACGGUACCUAAUCAGAAAGCCACGGCUAACUACGUG